GGUGGGCUUCAUGCGUUAAAUCUUUUUCAUAUCCAAAAUACACAGAAUAAGAGGACAGAGAAGGAGAAAGCAGGGUUUGCCUUGUUCUUGGACAGCCAUCAUCCCUGCAGCAAGAGAAAGCUCAUUUCUCUGAGUAUUACAUCUGCUCCCCUGGGAAAGCUAGGAAAGCACCUGUCCAGUGUGAGAAGAAUAAGAUGUUGUCUGAGCUUUAUAAAGCAGCAAUUAAGCCUCUUGCCUGUGCUUCAGCUUCCUCUGCCCUGUCCAGCUCACCCUGGUCCAGCACUCCUGGCUUCUAGUGAAUGCUCUUGUCUUCUGAAGGCUGCUGGGUCCUGUCUCCAGUCUCAUUGCCUGCUUCUCUCAGGCGUUGCAGCCACUGUGGUGAGCUCCAGAGAGCUCGAGGAAAAUACAGGAAGGCCAAGGGUCACACCAUAACAGAAACCAGGCUGUUGAUGAGCGAGGGCAUUUGAAUAAAUACCACAGCAACUGGUUUUGGAUGGCAGUGCUUUGGAAUACAGGUGGAGAAAAGUUUGUUUGUUUAAUUAAAAGAGUUAUGGUGACGAUGUCCCUGCAACCAAAGCAGUAAGAACUGUUGGGGAAAAAAAGUUGGAAAAUAAAGUUUGCAAAAAUCACCUUGGACAGAAGCUUCUUCAUUCUGUUUGGUUUGUUAGGGUAGCUGAAAAUGAACUGUAUUUUCCUCUGCAUGAUAUGUCAGUAGCUUCCCAGCAAAAAAAUAACACCAUAAGCAAUUUCUAAAAUGAUCUCUUGCCUGUGGACUCAGACAUAUCAGUCAGGUCUAGUUGCUUGGUUUUGCUGUUUUAUGUUCUGCGACACAGUCUGACAAGGAAUUUAAGCCCCUACAAGCAACUUUUCUGACCUCUGUACCACCCUGGGUUGAGAACUCAAGGCUUCAGAGCACACUCAGUUCCCGGCUCCCAAAGCAGACCACCUGACAAGGCUGGCAUUUGGGCUGCGUGAAAGCUGCUGGGUGACCUUGCUUCCCGGGUGGCAGAGGGAGGAUGUAGCUCAGCAGGGGCUGUGGCUGCAGGCUGGGGCUGUUCCGUGUGCCCAGCUGGGUGCUAUCAGCUGUGGCCACUCACCACUCCUGCACUGCUUCAAGAAUUGCUCCUGCCUUCAUCUCAGGUGUGGAGAUGUAGCUCCUGGCCAUGAAAGAAAGGCAUUUGCAUGAAGCAUUUGAAAUGCUGUUCUCCUGCACUGGUCCCUGUGCUCCCUCCCAGGGGCUCAGCCUUUCAGUCUCAAAUGUUGUGAAUGGCUGAUUGCCUCUGCUCUUCAAGGAGCCUUACUGAAGCUGUUGGGUGAGGACAUCAUUGGCGUUUCUGUUUAGAAACAUCCCAGCUCAGUUUAUGCUUUGCAGCAUUUGAUUCCGAUCAGGUUAAAUGCUGUAAAGAAACCCAGGGGAAAUGGAUGCCUUUCCCAUCUGGGCCCAGAACCCUGGCAUCAGUGCUGCUUUAUAAAGCUCAAAUGACAUUUUAUUCUGUUCACGCUGGACAGAUAUUUCCCUUACUUCCAAGCUGCAGUCUUCUGCUUUGUUGAAAAGGAUUUUUAGAUAGAUGUAAGGCUGGGUCAGUUCAGGAGUUCUCUCAGAGAACCUUGGAGAGCACGGAGCAGCUUGUGAACCUGAAGAGGGCAGCGUGUACGUGGAAAACCCCCAGCACAUGUUCCCUGCCUGGACCCGAAGCCAGGAGUGCGGUACCUUUGUGGCUGGGGGCUCCUUGGUCACAAAACGGCGGGGGGGGAGGGGCGCUCUGACAAGUUUUUGAAUUACAAGUUUUGGAAAGUACCAGGAAUGGUAAAUUCAAUGUAUUCAAUGUUUCUGCAGGUGUUGCACAGGGCCUAACCAGUCACCUUUAUGCACAGUUAGAAGAAUGGUAAUUUUACCAUGUUUGAAAUCUGCGUGAUACA